rnacentral:SRP_RNA from 1 species
GCCAGGUGUGGUGGCGUGUGCCUGUCGUCCCAGCUACUCGGGAGGCUGAGGCUGGAGGAUCUCUUGAGCCCAGGAGGUCUGGGCUGUAGUGCGCUAUGCCUAUCGGGUGUCCGCACUAAGUUUGGCAUCAAUAUGGUGACCUCCCGGGAGCAAGGGACCACCAGGUUGCCUAAGGAGGGGUGAACCAGCCCAGGUCGGAAAUGGAGCAGGUCAAAACUCCCAUGCUGAUCAGUAGUGGGAUCGUGCCUGUGAAUAGCCACUGCACUCCAGCCUGGGCAACAUAGCGAGACCCCGUCUCU